UACAACCUGCAACUUUAGCGUCGGAAACAAGAAGAUCAAAUAAACAGGUAGGGGGCACUUUGGCCCAAUUAGCAUCUAGGGUUCUAUUGUUGUGGGCCUUUGCGGCCCAGUCGGCCGCAAAGUUUGCUUCGCGAUGGCAAUGCCGCACUAGAAGGCUGGAGAAUCGGUGCAAGAGAACAGCAACUUCAGCAAACAGUGAUCGUACCUCCCAUAGCGUCAAUCGGUUGUCGAUCACGGCAUUAACCAGCAACAAGCAGUCAGAUUCAACCACAAUUGGAUCCUCCAUUCUUCCUUGUUUGAUCAAGUACUGUAGAGUAAGCAAGAAAGCAUAAGUUUCAGCCUGCAGAGGCGAAGAUGCAGCAAAAUCGCGGGUAAAUCCUUCUAUCAACUUUCCAGUGUGAUCUUGGCAUAGACAUGCCAUUGAGCCUUGGUCACUUUCAAGCUUAAAAGCCCCAUCAAUAUUACACUUCAGGACACCGGGAUCGGGAGGUCGCCAGACUUGGGAAGGUAGGGUUGAUGGCAGUCCAGUUGCAGUAGAUCGACGAUGCAAAAUCCGAGCUGUUUGAACCUUUGCGGAUAUGACAUUCAACAGAUGGAGUGGAUCAGGACGAUGGCUAUGGAAAACGAAAGUGUUUCUGGCCUUCCAAAUCUGCCAAAGGAUCUUAGCUAUUGUUUUGAACUCAGGUAAGCUCUGUUUCUGAUUAGCUCUGUCUGCUAGCCAUUGUUCUAUGCGAGGAACAUCAUGAGGAGUUAGAUGAAGACCAAUUGUGGGGUGAGACCAUAUCGUAGUUGUCCACAGGCAACAUAGGAAUAAGUGUUCAAGGGAUUUUGGACAAUUAUUGUUGCAUAUAUUGCAGACCAUAUCUGUGCUGAUGUGACCGCGAACGAGAUUGGUCUUUGUCGCUAAAGCAUUAUGGCAUAGGGACCAAAGAAAGGUCCGGAUUUUUGGUGUUAGCUUUAGUCGCCAAAUACUUUUCCAUAGUUGCACAGGUACUUGAUAAGACGACGAUGGCAUGUCUGUAUGAUUUGAGUUUGCUUUCUUUAUUGCCUGAUAGUUGUUAUGCACUGUGUAUUGGCCAUUGAUAGUGUCUGUCCAGAUUUGCUGUCUGUAUAUGAUUGGGUCGAACCUGAAUACUUGUAUUUCUUUGAUGGUGUGAGUAUCGUAGUGCUAUUGUAAUAAAUUAGCAUUCCAGG
rnacentral:lncRNA from 1 species